rnacentral:rRNA from 1 species
CUUCGGGGACGAGUAAAGUGGCGCAGGGUGAGUAACACGUGAAUAAUCUACCCUCGAAUCUGGGAUAACCUGGCGAAAGCUAGGCUAAUACUGGAUAAGACCACGCUUCACAAGGAGCGCGGCAAAAGGAGUCUCAACCUUCGUUUGAGGAUGAGUUCGCGGACCAUUAGCUAGUUGGUGAGAUAACAGCUCACCAAGGCAACGAUGGAUAGCCGGCCUGAGAGGGUGAACGGCCACACUGGAACUGAGACACGGUCCAGACUCCUACGG